AAUGGGGGAAACCCUGAUGCAGCGAUGCCGCGUGAGUGAAGAAGGCCUUUGGGUUGUAAAGCUCUUUCGUCGGGGAAGAAAAUGACUGUACCCGAAUAAGAAGGUCCGGCUAACUUCGUGCCAGCAGCCGCGGUAAUACGAAGGGACCUAGCGUAGUUCGGAAUUACUGGGCUUAAAGAGUUCGUAGGUGGUUAAAAAAGUUGGUGGUGAAAUCCCAGAGCUUAACUCUGGAACUACCAUCAAAACUUUUUAGCUAGAGUAUGAUAGAGGAAAGUAGAAUUUCUAGUGUAGAGGUGAAAUUCGUAGAUAUUGGAAAGAAUACCAAUUGCGAAGGCAGCUUUCUGGAUCAUUACUGACACUGAGGAACGAAAGCAUGGGUAGCGAAGAGGGUU
rnacentral:rRNA from 1 species